GAGUGGAGAUGAGAUUGAGAGAGAAGAGAUGAGAGGGGAGGAUGGGAGGGAGGAGUAACAAAAGUGUAAACAAAAACUAAAAACCGAAAUCUAUUUGAAAUUGUUUUUACUUUUGUUACUUCUCCAUCCCAUCCUCCCCUCUCAUCCUCUCUCUCAAUCUCUUCUUCACUCU
rnacentral:miRNA from 1 species